rnacentral:rRNA from 1 species
GCUAACGUCCGUCGUGAAGAGGGAAACAACCCAGACCGCCAGCUAAGGUCCCAAAGUCAUGGUUAAGUGGGAAACGAUGUGGGAAGGCCCAGACAGCCAGGAUGUUGGCUUAGAAGCAGCCAUCAUUUAAAGAAAGCGUAAUAGCUCACUGGUCGAGUCGGCCUGCGCGGAAGAUGUAACGGGGCUAAACCAUGCACCGAAGCUGCGGCAGCGACGCUUAUGCGUUGUUGGGUAGGGGAGCGUUCUGUAAGCCUGUGAAGGUGGCCUGUGAGGGUUGCUGGAGGUAUCAGAAGUGCGAAUGCUGACAUAAGUAACGAUAAAGCGGGUGAAAAGCCCGCUCGCCGGAAGACCAAGGGUUCCUGUCCAACGUUAAUCGGGGCAGGGUGAGUCGACCCCUAAGGCGAGGCCGAAAGGCGUAGUCGAUGGGAAACAGGUUAAUAUUCCUGUACUUGGUGUUACUGCGAAGGGGGGACGGAGAAGGCUAUGUUGGCCGGGCGACGGUUGUCCCGGUUUAAGCGUGUAGGCUGGUUUUCCAGGCAAAUCCGGAAAACCAAGGCUGAGGCGUGAUGACGAGGCACUACGGUGCUGAAGCGACAAAUGCCCUGCUUCCAGGAAAAGCCUCUAAGCAUCAGGUAACAUCAAAUCGUACCCCAAACCGACACAGGUGGUCAGGUAGAGAAUACCAAGGCGCUUGAGAGAACUCGGGUGAAGGAACUAGGCAAAAUGGUGCCGUAACUUCGGGAGAAGGCACGCUGAUAUGUAGGUGAAG